rnacentral:rRNA from 1 species
AUUACGGGGUGCAGCAGGCGCGAAAACUGGCCAAUGCGCGAAAGCGUGAGCCGGCUAAUCCGAGUGAUAGCCCAUCGGCUAUCUUUUGUCAAGUGUUCACAGCUUGGCGAAUAAUGAGGGGGCAAGACUGGUGCCAGCCGCCGCGGUAAAACCAGCUCUUAGAGUGGUGAUCAUGUUUAUUUGGCUUAAAGUGUGCGUAGCAGGACAGCGUAAGUCCCCUGUGAAAUGCUCGGUCUUAAGCUGAGCGCGGGCAGGGGAUACUGUGCGUCUUGGGACCGGGAUAGGUGUAAUGUACGCGUUGGGUAGGGGUGAAAUCCGAUAAUCCAACGCGGACAACCGGUGGCGAAGGCGUUACACUGGAACGGGUCCGACUGUGAGGCACGAAAGCUAGGGUCGCGAGCCGGAUUAGAUACCCGGGUAGUCCUAUGCUGUAAACGAUGCGGGCUAGGUGUAGGGGCAGCUACGAGCUGCUCCUGUGCCGCAGAGAAAUUGUUAAGCCCGCCGCCUGGGGAGUACGAUCGCAAGAUUGAAACUUAAAGGAAUUGGCGGGGGAGCACAAU